rnacentral:ncRNA from 1 species
ACUUCAAGGCAGGGUUAAUUUCCCUACCGGCGGUAUAGUCCGCAAGCCCUUUUGGGUUGAUUCGGUGCAAUUCCGAAACCGACGGUAAAGUCCGGAUGGAAGAAGU